GUUGGGAAAGCUUUAUCAGGAGACG
rnacentral:piRNA from 1 species